rnacentral:snRNA from 1 species
UUGCUCGCUUCGGCAACGCAUAUGCUUCUACAGAGAAGAUUAGCAUGGCCCCUGCGCAAGGAUGACAGGCAAAUUUGUGAAGUGUUCCAUAUUUUU